GAUUUUUCUACUUUCCCAAUUUAAGUCUGAAAACAGAUCCAGUGUUUACAGGGAUUUUAAGUCUGAAAACAAGAACGUCAUUCAGAGCCACCAUGAUACCACCGAAACAAAAAUAUACGAUGGAAUGGGACGCUUCCUAAAAUAUGCACCAGGACUAUUAGUGGAGGUGGAAGAGGAAAGGUGUGAUGUUGAAAUUCCACAAUGCUGGGAUAAAGGGGAACCUCUUGGACUUUUGAUAAGGAGAACACGUUUCUUGUGAACCAUUGUCUUUUAUUUUCUAGCUUUAAAAAAUCUUCUCAAGAACAGCAGGACCAUUAUUAAUCAAAGUAACACUUCCCCGUGAGGAUAGAAUGGGGUAACUUUUUUUCAAGGGAAUAAAAUUAAAGAAUAUACACUUCAUCCGAGGAACAGCAGGACUGAGAUAAUAACAGUGAACACUGUGGGUUUUUUCCCCCAAAGAAUGGUUUAUUUGGAUUUAAUCUUUCCUUUAAUUACUACUACAUUGUUGAAUAUAUUGGUACAUGUAGGACCUAUUUUGCAGUGUGAGAGUAAUUGCUCUUGUUACACAUGCCUUAAAAGUACCGGUAUGUCUUAUUAUUUCUUGAAUAAAUGUAAUUGCUAUUGAUCUCAAUUUUGUGUAAUGUUAUGAUUCCAAUGGUAUAUUAAUUUAGUUAAGGCACAAUACAAAGGGUAUCUGUGAAUGCUGUUCACUUAUUUUGCCAGGAAGUUAUUUCAUUGAUUGGAAGUGUAGCUAGGGAAAUGUAUUUCAACAUUGACACCAAGUAAUUCAUUUUCGAACAGAUAAGUUCAAUGCAUGAUAAAUUAAAUGUAAUUUCAACCAGUUAUCAAUGUUGCUACAACCAAAUAUGAACAUUGAUUCAACCUGUUUUCAAUGUCUAUCUAAUUUAAAGAUGAUGUUGGAAUUCCAUGUUGAUUCAACUUUAUAUGCAACCAAAUUUCUAAGUUGAUAUCUGACGUUGCUUCACCUUUCAUAUGCAACCAAUAUUCAACGUUGAAUUAAUGUUGUAGAGCAACGUUGAUAUCUGAUGUUGAAACAACGUUGAUAUCUGACGUUGCUUCACCUUUCAUAUUCAACCAAAAUUCAACGUUGAUUCAACGUUGAAGAGUAACGUUGAUAUCUGAUGUUGAAACAACGUUGAUAUCUGACGUUG